UACGUAAGGGGCAAGCGUUGUCCGGAAUUAUUGGGCGUAAAGAGCGUGUAGGCGGUCCGGUAAGUCGGCUGUGAAAGUCCAGGGCUCAACCCUGGGAUGCCGGUCGAUACUGCCGGACUAGAGUUCGGAAGAGGCGAGUGGAAUUCCCGGUGUAGCGGUGAAAUGCGCAGAUAUCGGGAGGAACACCUAUGGCGAAGGCAGCUCGCUGGGACGUUACUGACGCUGAGACGCGAAAGCGUGGGGAGCAAACAGG
rnacentral:rRNA from 1 species